rnacentral:pre_miRNA from 12 species
GCGGACAGACUUCAAGCUCCUCACAUGUUACGGGUUUCGCGACGAUUGAGCCGGAUAAAGUUGAACAGGUUCGUUGUCGACGAAACCUGCACAAUGUGGGGACACUCAUCAGAUGAAAGAA